GUCAAUAUUUAUGUAAGGAUAUGCUAAGUGUUUGUGUGUCUAUUUAUAUGUAUAUUUAAUGGUGGAGACAUGGUGGGGAUGGUUGUUUUCUCCAAGUCUCAUGUAUGUAUCUUUCUUCAUAUUUUUCUAUGGAAGCUCGAUAUUACUCAUACUACUAUGCUUCUCUUGUCAGAUUUUGGUUCAGUCCUUCAUAAAAUCAAGAUAUCAGAGGAGCAAAGAAAAUAUUUUAUUGAUAACACAGAGCCCCUGGUAGCAUUUGCUUCCGCUCUUUAUUAUCCUUUGUGAUAGUUGGCAUUACAGAGCUUGUUUCCUGAUUUCUGAGUACAAUUUAGCCGACUGGAGCUUCGGAUCUUUAUGCAUCUUGCAAACUGUCAGAGCAUGUUGAAUGCCUUCAAGGCUGGUGGGGAUUUCCAUUCAAGGAUGGCAAUGAAUAUGUACCCACAUAUUCGCAAGGCUGUAGAGGGAAAAGGGGUGUUGCUUGAAUGGUAGCCUCAACCUAGGGAAGACAAACCUCCAGUUCCUCUAUUAAAGGAUGCCUUUGCUUUUGAGAGAUGAAAAGCGAAAUUGCUCAACUUCUCUAUUGCAUAUGGGAAAACUCCUGUUGGGCUGGCCCGUGAUUGUAAGUGGCGCUACCCAAGAUCAUGGAGGCAACGGGGUAUGAAAUAAUUAACGAUGGAUGUAGAUUGCCUGUAAGACUAUCUCUAAAGCGCAACGUGGCCCAAGUUCUCAGAGGCCCACUGUGAUGUAUGUAUUUUAUCCACUCCAUCCAUCUGUUUUGCCAGCUCAAAUUGACUACCUAAGCAAAGGAUUGGAUUUAGCUAAAAUUUUACCACUUACGUAAUUUAAAUCCCAAGAUGAUUGUGAUUUUUCCAUUGAUGUAAUUCUAAUACUUAUCCCAAGUAGUUAUGAAUGUGCCAUUGAUGUAAUUUUUAAUA